rnacentral:rRNA from 1 species
CAGCCGUAAACGAUGCGCGUUAGGUGUAUCGACGACCACGAGUCGUCGAGGUGCCGAAGGGAAACCGUGAAACGUGCCGCCUGGGAAGUACGGUCGCAAGGCUGAAACUUAAAGGAAUUGGCGGGGGAGCACCACAACAGGUGGAGCCUGCGGUUUAAUUGGACUCAACGCCGGAAUCUCACCGGAUAAGACAGCAGAAUGAUUGCCGGGCUGAAGACUCUGCAUGACUAGCUGAGAGGAGGUGCAUGGCGUCAGUGACU